AAAGUUCUCUUUGAUCGCUUGCAGUUGCACAAAUAUCUGACCUCAGCAGAUGGUCUACACGAAGUUCUUGGAUCGAUCAACCCUCUGCGGGAGUGCUAGCUCGCAUAGUCGACUUCUGAUGGCAGAUUUGAUUUGAUCUCUUCCUUCGAUCACCUCGAACCUUUCUGAUAUCAAAGAUGGAUCAGAGAAAGAUGCUGGAUGGUGGAGAAAAAUAUGAUGAAAACUCUCUUCUCUUUAAUUUUUCUCUCACCCAAAAUCUAAAAUAGUUUUAGAUCGCUCACCCGAGAGGAGAUCGGUCUCCUCUUUUGUUCAUGCCAAGGA
rnacentral:lncRNA from 1 species